rnacentral:rRNA from 1 species
GAUGAACGCUGGCGGCGUGCCUAAUACAUGCAAGUCGAGCGAACGGACGAGAAGCUUGCUUCUCUGAUGUUAGCGGCGGACGGGUGAGUAACACGUGGAUAACCUACCUAUAAGACUGGGAUAACUUCGGGAAACCGGAGCUAAUACCGGAUAAUAUUUUGAACCGCAUGGUUCAAAAGUGAAAGACGGUCUUGCUGUCACCUAUAGAUGGAUCCGCGCUGCAUUAGCUAGUUGGUAAGGUAACGGCUUACCAAGGCAACGAUGCAUAGCCGACCUGAGAGGGUGAUCGGCCACACUGGAACUGAGACACGGUCCAGACUCCUACGGGAGGCAGCAGUAGGGAAUCUUCCGCAAUGGGCGAAAGCCUGACGGAGCAACGCCGCGUGGGUGAUGAAGGUCUUCGGAUCGUAAAACUCUGUUAUUAGGGAAGAACAUAUGUGUAAGUAACUGUGCACAUCUUGACGGUACCUAAUCAGAAAGCCACGGCUAACUACGUGCCAGCAGCCGCGGUAAUACGUAGGUGGCAAGCGUUAUCCGGAAUUAUUGGGCGUAAAGCGCGCGUAGGCGGUUUUUUAAGUCUGAUGUGAAAGCCCACGGCUCAACCGUGGAGGGUCAUUGGAAACUGGAAAACUUGAGUGCAGAAGAGGAAAGUGGAAUUCCAUGUGUAGCGGUGAAAUGCGCAGAGAUAUGGAGGAACACCAGUGGCGAAGGCGACUUUCUGGUCUGUAACUGACGCUGAUGUGCGAAAGCGUGGGGAUCAAACAGGAUUAGAUACCCUGGUAGUCCGCGCCGUAAACGAUGAGUGCUAAGUGUUAGGGGGUUUCCGCCCCUUAGUGCUGCAGCUAACGCAUUAAGCACUCCGCCUGGGGAGUACGACCGCAAGGUUGAAACUCAAAGGAAUUGACGGGGACCCGCACAAGCGGUGGAGCAUGCGGUUUAAUUCGAAGCAACGCGAAGAACCUUACCAAAUCUUGACAUCCUUUGACAACUCUAGAGAUAGAGCUUUCCCCUUCGGGGGACAAAGUGACAGGUGGUGCAUGGUUGUCGUCAGCUCGUGUCGUGAGAUGUUGGGUUAAGUCCCGCAACGAGCGCAACCCUUAAGCUUAGUUGCCAUCAUUAAGUUGGGCACUCUAAGUUGACUGCCGGUGACAAACCGGAGGAAGGUGGGGAUGACGUCAAAUCAUCAUGCCCCUUAUGAUUUGGGCUACACACGUGCUACAAUGGACAAUACAAAGGGCAGCGAAACCGCGAGGUCAAGCAAAUCCCAUAAAGUUGUUCUCAGUUCGGAUUGUAGUCUGCAACUCGACUACAUGAAGCUGGAAUCGCUAGUAAUCGUAGAUCAGCAUGCUACGGUGAAUACGUUCCCGGGUCU